rnacentral:rRNA from 1 species
AUGCCGGACCAGGUGAAGCACUGCAAGACGGCGCUCAAGGUGCUCGACAAAAAGCUCAAGAAGCCGGCAGCAAUAUUCGACGACUUUAGAGGCCUUCCGGCCAUAAGAACAUCACUCCAGUUGGCUCAGAAGUUUACUGUGGCUCGAAGUCCUGCUAAUAGGGAAAGGAACCGCUACACUGAUGUCUUGGCAUUUGAUGAAACCAGGAUAAAGCUACAGUCCUCAACAGGCAAUCAGACUUCAAGUAAUGAUUACAUCAAUGCAAGCCUUAUAAAGUAUGAUGACAAAGAUCAGACAAAGUUCAUUUCUACUCAAGGUCCGCUAGUCAAUACAUUCGAAGAUUUUUGGCAGAUGGUCUUUGAGAACAGCUGUCCUGUAAUUGUCAUGCUCACUAAAUUUGACAUUGCUAAGUGUGAUGAGUAUCUUCCACUGAGCAAGGGGCAAGGAGACUAUGGAAGAUUGAACAUUAAAAUCCUGGAGACCAGACAAGAUGGGGAAUUAACAUUGCGCAGUGUGAAGGUGCAACAUAACGAGUCAGAUAGAGUGCAUACUGUUCUCCACAUCCAGCACUCCACAUGGCCUGACCAUGGUGUGCCAGAUGACAGCAGUACUGUACGGAAGAUUCUAAAAAGAUUAUAUUACGUUCCUAAAGAGCACCCAGUUGUUGCACAUUGCAGUGCAGGCAUUGGGAGAACUGGUGCUUACAUUACAAUCCAUAAUACAGUAGAGAGGAUAUUACGUGGUGAACAAGCUGCUACAAAUCUUGUGGAAACUGUCGGGAAGUUUAGAUCCCAGAGACCUGGCAUGGUCCAAACGGAGGAACAAUACAAGUUCUGCUAUCAUGCAAUUGCGGAUGAGCUGAAAGAUCUGAUUAGGAAUUCGAAGAGCUGA